rnacentral:rRNA from 1 species
UACGGGGGGGCAAGCGUUGUUCGGAAUUACUGGGCGUAAAGGGCUUGUAGGUGGCCAACUAAGUCAGACGUGAAAUCCCCCGGCUUAACCGGGGAACUGCGUCCGAUACUGGUUGGCUUGAGUUUGGGAGAGGGAUGCGGAAUUCCAGGUGUAGCGGUGAAAUGCGUAGAUAUCUGGAGGAACACCGGUGGCGAAGGCGGCAUCCUGGACCAAUACUGACGCUGAGGAGCGAAAGCCAGGGGAGCAAACGGG